GCUGAGGAGCUGGGUGGGGGCCGCAGCGGCCUCCAGGGCCAGGGUCAGGGUCCGCUGGGCCCGAAUCAACCAGGCCGGCCGCAGAGGGAUCGGGCUCUUCCGCCUGCCCCACGCCGCCCCAGCCUGUGCGGGGAGCCGGCGGCCCGGGUUUGGAGGCAGAGAGGCCACGUAAAGCCUGGGCUCCUGCUGUCUCCUCACGCGGGAAGGUCCACAGCCCACUCCGACCAGCAUUCCCCGUGGAAGUGGCGGCCCCUCUGGGUGGGGGUCCCUGAGCUGGUCCCCACAGUCUCUCACCCGGCCCUGGGAGGGGGGGCGUUUCUCUUCUGUCCUUGUCCCCUGCCUGACAGGCACUUGGGUUUUCAUCCUCCCUUGGAAAUGCUCCCUCUGGAAUCCGCCUGCCCCUGGCCCUGUGCUCAGCCCGGGGGUGCCGGCCUGGGAGCCAAGGCGGAGCCGGGGUGGGCUCAGGAGGACGGAGCGCAGAGGUGGGCUGGGAGGCGCUGGCGAGCACGCAGCUCCUUCAGGCUCGUCCCAGCCUCACGUCCGGAGUCACCGCAGCAGAAUAGAGUCACAGCCUGGGUGUGGGCUCCUGGACCUUCCCGCGUGAGGAGGCAACAGGAGCCCAUGUUCAUCAUUUUGAAGAAUCACAGAUUUUGAGUCAUGCCAGGGGCUCCGGUGAAAAUGUCAUGGGGAGCCAGGCCUCCGCGUCUAACAUUUCAGCUUGAGGGUGACCGGGAGCUCUGGGGUGGCCUUAGACCUGCGAAUGGACUCCCAGGCGCAGUGGCAGGCAUUUCUCUUGCUUUUUCUUUAUGAUGACCUGGGCUGGCCAUGUCCCCGUCAAUGCAGCUGGUUCUCAAAGGCCCCACUCUUCCCCACAGCUCCAUUUACCACCAACCCGCUUGUCCCGUCGCACUUAGAGGCGGACCUGCUCCUCCUGAGAAUCCAGGAAGGAACUGAAGAGACGACGUUGCUUUCUGAUCUUUCUCAGGCCAGAGGAAGUUUGUGGGCCAAGUGAUAUUCCUAAUUCAAACUUUAUUGUGUAAUUAUAGUACAAAACAUAUUAUUUCUCUUUAUUUUUCCUCUCUCAGUUAAUGGUAAAUUUUAUUGCAUAAAAAAAUUACAUAUGCUGUAAUUCAUGCCUCGCAGCCUACACACCAAUUAAAUCCGAAGCUGACACAGUCCACGCACAAUUACGUGGAAUCUGCAAAGUGAAAGGAUCAUGUAUUUGCGCUGCGGUAACAGGCAGAGCCAUUUAGCGACGUGACAGCUGUAAGUGCAGGGCAAGCAGAGUCUGUGCUCGGGGGUGAUUGAUGGGCCCCGCGAGAGGCGUGGGGACAGCGCGUUGCCUCACAUCGAGCUGGGCAGCACGUACAGGACAUCGUACAUCUCAGCACUCACAGGCGGCACCCACAGAGUGUCCCAACAGGCAGGAGGGGUGUCCAGGCUGAGCAGAGGAGGCAGCUGCUCUUCUCCACUCCAGAGGGACCCUUAAGGUCAUAAAUCCCCAAAUAAACGGCCGUCUGAACCUCCAGCUUCAACUGCCUGGCCAAAUGUCCCUGUCCCGCUCUCGGGAUGUGGGCCUGACUGCCAGCCUCUGCAGAGGGGCCCUCAAUUCAGGCCACCCUCAGGAUGGUCCCCGGUGUCCUGGGGAGGGAAGAUGGAGGCCACACUAUGCUAAAAGACUCCUCCAUCCCUCCUUCUCCCUCCCCACUUCCGAGGAUGCCUCGAGGGUGCAGAGGGUGCACAGCACAGACCUGCAGAGAACAGGUAUCUCCUUUCAGCUCCUGCUGCCUCCGGCUCCUGCCUCUCUCUGGGAUGCCUCA
rnacentral:lncRNA from 1 species